rnacentral:rRNA from 1 species
UACGUAGGGAGCAAGCGUUGUCCGGAAUCAUUGGGCGUAAAGCGCGCGUAGGCGGCUCGAUCAGUCUGUUGUGAAAGUCAAAGGCUCAACCUUUGAAUGCCGAUGGAUACUGUCGAGCUAGAGUCCGGAAGAGGCGGGUGGAAUUCCUGGUGUAGCGGUGGAAUGCGCAGAUAUCAGGAAGAACACCCGUGGCGAAGGCGGUUCUCUGGGACGGUACUGACGCUGAGACGCGAAAGCGUGGGGAGCGAACAGG